AACGCGAAGAACCUUACCUACCCUUGACAUCUAUAGAAUUUUGCAGAGAUGCGAAAGUGCCGAAAGGAGCUAUAAGACAGGUGCUGCAUGGCUGUCGUCAGCUCGUGUUGUGAGAUGUUGGGUUAAGUCCCGUAACGAGCGCAACCCUUAUCCUUAGUUGCCAACAUGUGAUGGUGGGGACUCUAAGGAGACUGCUGGUGAUGAACCGGAGGAAGGCGGGGACGACGUCAAGUCAUCAUGGCCUUUAUGGGUAGGGCUACACACGUGCUACAAUGGGGCGUACAGAGGGAAGCGAAGCUGCGAAGCGGAGCCAAUCCCAGAAAGCGUCUCGUAGUCCGGAUUGAAGUCUGCAACUCGACUUCAUGAAGUCGGAAUCGCUAGUAAUCGCGAAUCAGAAUGUCGCGGUGAAUACGUUCCCGGGCCUUGUACACACCGCACGA
rnacentral:rRNA from 1 species